UCGUCUUACUUUUCACAGAGAGUGUACUUGGGCUUUGGCCUUUAAGCAGCCGGCCUUCAAUUGGUUCUCAUUAGCUGUGGAAUGAGAAGAGAAAGCCAGAUAAUUGCACCGUAUCUUCCUUGCAUUUGUGCGUGUACUCGGUGGCUGCUACCGUUAACGAUGCCUGCCAAGAAAGCCUGAUUUACUGGGUGAGGGGGGCUCCUGGCAAAGGCGAAACCCUCCCAACAGUAGCACAAGGUGCCAGAGGUUAGAACUUUCACAUGUGCACAGAGUGAAUAUGCUGUGUCUGUAUUUCUUUCCUCCUGGGGCCUUAGGAACACUUUCAAUCUAGCGGCGAGGUGGCGCGCAUGCGCGCGCCGGGUGGGGGACACCCCGGUCCCACGGCUCCGUGGGCCUCGUCGUCUAUCUCCGGUGGGGGGAUGGGGCGAGCGCCGCGGGAGCGGGGCCGGACGAGGUGGUAGCGAGUGCGCCCUCCUGGGCUCGCCGCCAGUGGCACCGGCUCUAGCACCGGACGCCGCCCGCCCGCGUCGGAGGUGCGCCUUUAAUUAAAAGACUUCGGCUCGCGGGAAAGAGGGGAAAAUGCCGACUGCGCUCGGCCCGUGGCACGAGGACGGGAGCGCGUGGUGUGAGCAGCUGGAGCACACUCUGGGCGCGCGGGCGGCUCCCGGACUUCAACAGGAGCGCUAGCAUACAAGAUCCUAGUUCUCUGGCCAAGGAUGGAAGCCACAGUCCCCUGCAUUAGAAGCAUGGAGUCUCAACCACCGGACCACCAAGGAAGUCUCAGACAGCUGGUUAUUUUAGAGGAAGGAUUAUCCAGACUUCAUGAUGGGGAAACCCUAAAUUGAAAGCGUCUAGAUUCAAUCCUAAAGUGUAAGUGCAUAUUAUUUUUGCUAAUUUCCGGAUGUCUUGGUUUGUCCACUGAAAUCCUGACUGUUGAACUAGAUAGGUAAAUACCUGCCAAAGCAGAUUGUGUGAUCUUAAGCAAUUUUCAGGAUGGAAAAUAUCAAUUGCUCAAGCUAGAAGGGAAAAGGAAUGAUCAUUCAUAGGGUGCUUACUAUGUGCUGGUUGUUUUAUACAUAUUAUCUCACUGGAUCAUCACAAGAAUCCUGGGAAGUAGGAGUUACACCCAUUGAGAUUCAGAGCAGUUACCUGUUGUAUUUUUUUAGCUUACUGUAAUUUUGGCCAAGGUCACAAAUCUAUUAAAAUAAUA
ensembl:lncRNA